rnacentral:misc_RNA from 1 species
UUAUUGUUUCCAUGAAUGGCUGUCUGACUGCUGUGACAUUCAGGUGAAUUUGAUGCGGACCUCCCCCGCGCUCACCAAAGAGGUGGAUUUGCGGGGAAGCAACAUGGAAGCGGUACUCGGAGGGUUGUGUGAAGGUGAACGGGCCACCGUGCCUGUUUCUAUUUUGUUUUUCUUGUUUUUUUUUCGUCUGCCACCGCUAGGACGGCGGCAUUUUGAAGGUAUUGGGUGGCCCGACAGGGGAGGUCACCGUGCAGGUUCCCUUCUUCCCUGAAGUUAUUCGUUUUUCAUUUUUAAUGAUCCUUCCGCAGGUUCACCUACGGAAA